rnacentral:rRNA from 1 species
CGAUUCCGGAGAGGGAGCCUGAGAAACGGCUACCACAUCUAAGGAAGGCAGCAGGCGCGCAAAUUACCCAAUCCUAAUACAGGGAGGUAGUGACAAGAAAUAACAAUACAGAACCUCACGGUUUUGUAAUUGGAAUGAGUUAAGUAUAAACCCCUUAACGAGUAUCAAUUGGAGGGCAAGUCUGGUGCCAGCAGCCGCGGUAAUUCCAGCUCCAAUAGCGUAUAUUAAAGUUGUUGCAGUUAAAAAGCUCGUAGUUGAUUUUCUGUUAAUUUUUAUGUAUAAUAUUGCGAUAUUUACAUAAUAUUAACAUAAUUCACAUUACUUUACAGUAUGUGGAAUUUUACUUUGAGAAAAUUAGAGUGCUUAAAGCAGGCUAUUGCCUUGAAUACUCCAGCAUGGAAUAAUAUUAAGGAUUUUUAUUCUUCUUAUUGGUUCUAGAAUAAAAAUAAUGAUUAAUAGGAACAGUUGGGGGCA